rnacentral:rRNA from 1 species
UACGUAGGGUGCGAGCGUUAAUCGGAAUUACUGGGCGUAAAGCGUGCGCAGGCGGUUUGCUAAGACAGGUGUGAAAUCCCCGGGCUUAACCUGGGAACUGCGCUUGUGACUGGCAGGCUAGAGUACGGCAGAGGGGGGUGGAAUUCCACGUGUAGCAGUGAAAUGCGUAGAGAUGUGGAGGAACACCGAUGGCGAAGGCAGCCCCCUGGGCCUGUACUGACGCUCAUGCACGAAAGCGUGGGGAGCAAACAGG